GCCCCCGUAGCUCAGUGGUGAGAGCAGCGGUUUUCUAAACCGUGGGUCGGAGGUUCGAGUCCUCUCGGGGGCA
rnacentral:tRNA from 1 species